ACGUCAACGUAUUCAUUAUUUGUAAUGUUCUGAUGUUGUUUAUUUUCAUUUGAAAAUAUGCAGAGGGCUAUUAAAAAACAAGUUGCAGGCUGCAGGUGGGAGUCUGGGCCACACUUUGUAAAUCCUUCCAGUGUAUGUGGGCCCCUUUUAAAGUAAAAUAAAAAUAGACAUAAAAUAAUAGACUAAAAUUGACAUUAUAAGCUUUUUACUUUUUAUUUGUUUUUGUUUCAUGUUGUUGUUAAUGUUUUCCAUUAAAGUUAAAUGUUAUUAAUUUAUUCCCAACGAUGUUUUCAUUGUAUAGCAGUAUGUGUAUGUUGGAUUUUUUUCCCCCCAAUCCGUUUUCAGCUUUUGGAGACUUGGUUUACGUCACUUAAACUAUUUCAACAAUGGUACUGUUUCUUCAUCCGAUCACAUUUCAGAUUCUAUAGGCCUGCUAGCGGGCAUACAAUAAUGUCACCAUUUUCCGUCCCCUGAUCGGUUGAUCAUAACUAGCUAGCUUGUCUAUGAAAUCUGCCCAGGGAUUUCAGAAUUAGGAGUGCUGGCCCACAUCUCUUAAACUAUAUUAGCAAUCAUAUCGUUCCUUCAACCAAUCAGAUUUCAGAUUCAUCUAGCAGGGCCUGCUCCCGGGCAUUCAAUAAUGUCAUAAUUUUUCCGUCCUCUGAUUGGAUGAUCAGAACAGUUCCAGGAGAAACAACAGCAGAGUGGAUGAGGAGGAAAAAGGUAAAAAAUUUACUCAACAGAACAUCCCAGUGCACUACAAACCAGGCAACACCCUGAGACAGAGACUAGUGCAUCCUAAAUACCAGACACCCCACACCCACAAAAACAACCUGGUGUAUGCUGUCCAGUGUAAAGAUGAAUGCACUGAUUCAUAUAUUAGGGAAACAAAACAACCACUAAGCCGACGCAUAGCACAGCAUAGACAAACUUUUCAGGCCAAGACUCAGCUGUCUACCUGCACCUCAACGAGAAACAGCACUCCUUUGAGAACAAAAAUGUACGGAUUCUGUAGAGGGAGGACGGAUGGUACAAAAAAGGCGUGAGGGAAGGAGAUCUGAACAGAGAAGGUAGUCUGCGAGACCACCUGUCUCCCACAUACAACACUGUCCUUUCAACCAUUCCGAAAAGACUGCAAUUUAGCCUCCAACAGGAGUUGGAAAUUUUAUGGUCACAGAGGCUUCUUUGUGUCAUUUGUAUACAACUAAAUGGAAUGCUAGAAUGUGUGCCACACAAUACCUCAAUGCUAACGAGGGGAAAUGGCAUUUCAACGACUGCCUUUGGCAAUGACAGUAGGAUGGCUUGUUUGACUCUCAAGAGUUGUUUUUCUCACUACGAUCGGAACCAUCAAACAUUUUAAACCAGAAGGCUGAGCUGGGACUCCUCGCAAAACAAAUGUUUGACCAAGUUUCGUGAUGAAGUUUACAAAGUGGGAGGCACACCCUCCUGGUGUUGGAGUAUAAAUGUUUGGGGUUUGACACCAGCUGCUAGACUAGAUCUGACCAGUCUAAGUCUAAGACUAGAUCUGACCAAUCUAAGUCUAUGAGCAUGAACUGAUGAAGCCUACUUGGAUGAGAGGCGAAACGUCUUCAAGGACAAACCGAACAGUCCAGUUGCGAUCGAUUGAAUGCCCUGAGAAUCAGAACAAGCUUGCUUGUCUUAGCCCGGGAAAGGGUUUGUUCAGCACUUCUAGACCUGAAUCAGCAUCCUUGGUGAGUAUGAUGUGUUUUAUUAAAACAUUUUAUAUUUUUGUUGUGUUAUUAGAAAAAUAGUGAUUCUAAUCUCAACUACUUAUGAUGAUGUUGUAGUGUAGAAAUUUGGAGUUGUUAGGUCUGGGUUGUUUGCAACCUUUACGUGCAUACCUAGAAGGUGUUUACUUCUCAAAGUAUCUUGAGCUUUAUGUAUAUUGUUUUCACUAUAAUUAGUAGUUGUGGAAACAAAGACAUUUCAAAUAUAUAUUUUUUUCAGUUAAAUCAAUAAUGGUGAGAUAGUCGGGAGGUUCUUGUUAUAGUUUUUGGUUUAAACAAUUUAAUUUUGAGUAUUUAGCUUUAGUAAUUUUGGUAUUUAUCCCCAAUACACAAAAACCCUCACUCUCUGUAAUGCCAAGCCUUGUUUAAUUGCAUUGUUGCAUAUUUUUGAAGGUUUGCAGAACUGCGGAGCUAUAUUAAGGAGGUGGAUUAAGUCCCCACUGAAAGCCCAGGCACCAAAUGCAGGGUCCGCCACUAAUAAAAUGUCAGCUGAAAUGAAUGUUCAACUAUGUAAUGACCAACAUACAGAGAUAGAUCUAUUUUGUUGUUUUGGGUCAUGUCACGUUCUUUCUAUAGGCAGGACUUAUGGCACAGUGGCACACUUUAGCCACUCCCACUUGGUUAUUUGAAUGUCUAACUAGGAUUAAGAGACACUUUUUUUUUUCACACAGUAAUUCUUGAAUUGAGUCGAUGCAAAAAAAUUGGCAGCAUAUAAAACCUUAAUUUAUUUCACCUUUUCCAAGUCAUGCCAAAACUUUGCAAGAAUGAAAUAGAUUUAAAAUGAGUUAAUUGCAAUUAAUUUAAACUAAUCCAUGUGAUUGUUUGACAGCACUAAUGUAAACUCUUUCAUUUUGCAAUUUAAUCAGAGCUCUGUAUUAAAUAUAAAACACAUAUUAGGAAUAUAUACAAUGAUGUACUCACCAUCAGGUUUCUUAACUCGGCCACUCCUUCACAUGUGCUACUUGGGCAGCCGCUUUUUUCAUAGAAAGUAGUAUUAAAACCACCAAAUUUGGCCGUGAGAUUAAAUCUCACCCCUUUUAUGUGGGGCGGUGGGGGACAUGAAGGACAAAAAUAUAUAGGAAUUAUUUUUAUUACCUUUGGUUGCAGUAAAGCCAAUAGCUUGCAUGACAAAUUAACUGGAACAAUCAAAAUGAGUUUCUACAGAUAAGAGUUAUUCAUGAGGAUUUAUUGCCAUGAUAAUUAUUAUGUAAUCAGUUUGCAUGACUUGACAGCAAGACCACAGAAACGGGUAUAGGAUGAGAAGGACAAAAGACCCAGAAAAUAGUAAUAAAUUAUAAAUAAUGAUUGUACUGUCUUAUUUUUUGAUUGAAGAAUAGCAAAGUAUACACAUUGUAAAUAAAAAGCAUAUUUUGAUGUGUUGUUUUCUUACCGUUUUCAUCAACCCCAGAUUCGGAAUCUAACGCCUUCAGUAUUUGCCCUCUCACAAACUUUAAGCUCCAAGGUGACUCUUCGUCAUCCAGCAGAAUCACGUUCAUGGAGAUCCCUCUCAGGCAAUGUCGGACGCUCCGAAGCGACACCACAAGAGUCCCGAAGAGUGCCUAGAAAGGGAUUUCUAACUGAAUCACUUCCUUCCUCUCACUGUGAGUGGCUACUCACCUGCAAUGAUUGUUAAUGUGCAACCCGGAGAAAGCCAGCAAGGACCAUAAAACCUUGCCUCUGUUGUCAUGCCAAGGUCUGCAUGAAUUACGAGCACAGACGCAGGUAUCGCCACACAUGGAGAUAACGAGCACAUUUCGCUCAUUGGAAGUUGACUUGAAAUACAACGCCUACAAAAAACAAUCACAUUUUGAGGUUACUUUUGGACAGUCCCCGAAAUUUUGACUUUGUCCUGGAAAAGGACGAGCGUUCCCAAACACGAGAUUUGUAAGGCGAAAGAGGGUUUCCAUGCUCUGAAUUCUCCUUGGCACAAUCGCUAGCCAUGACUCCUGCUAGCCAAAGACUGGUCUGCACUUUGUUUACAGAGUAGACGCCUGAAGAGAGAAACACUCCAUGCGCCUCACUUUUAUUACGUGUGGGAACUGCCAAAUAGUCCCUACUGAAAAUCUGGUCACUAUCUUGUUUCUGUCACAA